rnacentral:rRNA from 1 species
GAUGAACGCUGGCGGCGUGCCUAAUACAUGCAAGUCGAGCGAACAGACGAGGAGCUUGCUCCUCUGACGUUAGCGGCGGACGGGUGAGUAACACGUGGAUAACCUACCUAUAAGACUGGGAUAACUUCGGGAAACCGGAGCUAAUACCGGAUAAUAUAUUGAACCGCAUGGUUCAAUAGUGAAAGACGGUUUUGCUGUCACUUGUAGAUGGAUCCGCGCCGCAUUAGCUAGUUGGUAAGGUAACGGCUUACCAAGGCAACGACGCGUAGCCGACCUGAGAGGGUGAUCGGCCACACUGGAACUGAGACACGGUCCAGACUCCUACGGGAGGCAGCAGUAGGGAAUCUUCCGCAAUGGGCGAAAGCUUGACGGAGCAACGCCGCGUGAGUGAUGAAGGUCUUCGGAUCGUAAAACUCUGUUAUUAGGGAAGAACAAAUGUGUAAGUAACUAUGCACGUCUUGACGGUACCUAAUCAGAAAGCCACGGCUAACUACGUG